rnacentral:rRNA from 1 species
UUUGGGUUUUUACUUAGGUUUGGGUGGCGGACGGGUGAGUAACGCGUAAAGAACUUGCCUCACAGGUAGGGACAACAUUUGGAAACGAAUGCUAAUACCUAAUAUUAUGAUAAUAGGGCAUCCUAUAAUUAUGAAAGCUAUAAGCGCUGUGAGAGAGCUUUGCGUCCCAUUAGCUAGUUGGAGAGGUAACGGCUCACCAAGGCGAUGAUGGGUAGCCGGCCUGAGAGGGUGAUCGGCCACAAGGGGACUGAGACACGGCCCUUACUCCUACGGGAGGCAGCAGUGGGGAAUAUUGGACAAUGGACCAAGAGUCUGAUCCAGCAAUUCUGUGUGCACGAUGAAGUUUUUCGGAAUGUAAAGUGCUUUCAGUUGGGAAGAAACAAAUGACGGUACCAACAGAAGAAGUGACGGCUAAAUACGUGCCAGCAGCCGCGGUAAUACGUAUGUCACGAGCGUUAUCCGGAUUUAUUGGGCGUAAAGCGCGUCUAGGUGGUUAUGUAAGUCUGAUGUGAAAAUGCAGGGCUCAACUCUGUAUUGCGUUGGAAACUGUAUAACUAGAGUACUGGAGAGGUAAGCGGAACUACAAGUGUAGAGGUGAAAUUCGUAGAUAUUUGUAGGAAUGCCGAUGGGGAAGCCAGCUUACUGGACAGAUACUGACGCUGAAGCGCGAAAGCGUGAGUAGCAAACAGGAUUAGAUACCCUGGUAGUCCACGCCGCAAACGAUGAUUACUAGGUG